AUGUGGACUGGAGAGCAGACUUGUGCUCUUCCUUUCAGAAAGGACAAACCUGAGCCCUAAUAUUAAUAUCCUUAAUCCUAUUCAUCAGCUCAACAAAUUUAUUAGGCCUAUUACCACACUUAUUCACACCUACCACCCAAUUAUCAAUAAACCUGGGAAUAGCCAUUCCCCU